UUAAGCCAUGCAUGUCUAAGUAUAAACGAUUUAAUCGUGAAACCGCGAAUGGCUCAUUAUAACAGCUAUAAUUUACUUGAUCUUGACACAAUCCUACUUGGAUAACUGUGGUAAUUCUAGAGCUAAUACAUGCAUUAAAGCUCUGACCUCACGGGAAGAGUGCAUUUAUUAGAACAAAACCAAGCGGCUUCGGCUGUUUCUGGUUGACUCAUAGUAACUGAGCUGAUCGCAUGGUCUUGCACCGGCGACGUGUCUUUCAAGUAUCUGCCGUAUCAACUUUCGAUGGUAGUGUAUCUGACUACCAUGGUGAUCACGCGUAACGGAGAAUAAGGGUUCGGCUCCGGAGAGUUCGCCUGAGAAAUCGCGAACACAUCUAAGGAAGGCAGCAGGCGCGAAAAUUACCCACUCUCAGCACGAGGAGGUAGUGACGAAAAAUAACGAGACCGUUCUCUUAUGAGGCCGGUCAUCGGAAUGGGUACAAUUUAAACCCUUAACGA
rnacentral:rRNA from 1 species